GUUUUAAUGUAGUUAUUAUUUAUACCAUCAAAAAUAAACAGAGAAUCCACAACAAUCUUAAGAAAUUACAUAGUUAUUUCUUAAGGAACACAAAAUAAGUGUUCAUUCUUUGGCAAGUUUACAUUUUUUCUUGAAAUAUGUUGCUUUCAAAGAAAAAGGUUGGGAAAGAUAAACAAACACCAUUGAAACAAAACUAAA
rnacentral:sRNA from 1 species